GCACUGCUGACGAGUCCCAAACAGGACACGAAACAGCUGUUCAGUGC
rnacentral:hammerhead_ribozyme from 1 species